UACAUGGGGUGCAAGCGUUGCUCGGAAUUAUUGGGCGUAAAGCGCGCGUAGGCGGUUACUCAAGUCGGAUGUGAAAGCCCUCGGCUUAACUGAGGAAGUGCACCCGAAACUGAGUAGCUAGAGUACUAAAGAGGGUCGCGGAAUUCCCGGUGUAGAGGUGAAAUUCGUAGAUAUCGGGAGGAACACCAGUGGCGAAGGCGGCGACCUGGGUAGAUACUGACGCUGAGGCGCGAAAGCGUGGGGAGCAAACAGG
rnacentral:rRNA from 1 species